GAUGAACGCUGGCGGCGUGCAUAACACAUUCAAGUCGAACGAGGUAGCAAUACCUAGUGGCGGACGGGUGAGUAACGCGUGAGCAACCUGCCCUUGUGUGGGGGAUACCGUCUGGAAACGGACGUUAAUACCGCAUAACAUAGCGGAAUCGCAUGGUUCUGCUAUCAAAGAUUUAUUGCGCAAGGAUGGGCUCGCGUUGGAUUAGAUAGUUGGUGGGGUAACGGCCCACCAAGUCGACGAUUGGUAGCCGGACUGAGAGGUUGAACGGCCACAUUGGGACUGAGACACGGCCCAGACUCCUACGGGAGGCAGCAGUGGGGGAUAUUGCACAAUGGGGGAAACCCUGAUGCAGCAACGCCGCGUGAAGGAAGAAGGUCUUCGGAUUGUAAACUUCUUUUAGCAGGGACGAAAUUCUGACGGUACCUGCAGAAAAAGCAACGGCUAACUACGUG
rnacentral:rRNA from 1 species